AACGCUAGCUACAGGCUUAACACAUGCAAGUCGAGGGGCAGCAUGAUUGAAGCUUGCUUCAAUUGGUGGCGACCGGCGCACGGGUGAGUAACGCGUAUCCAACCUUCCGUACACUCAGGGAUAGCCUUUCGAAAGAAAGAUUAAUACCUGAUAGUACUUUUUUAAGGCAUCUUGAGAAAGUUAAAGAUUUAUUGGUUAUGGAUGGGGAUGCGUUCCAUUAGAUAGUAGGCGGGGUAACGGCCCACCUAGUCUUCGAUGGAUAGGGGUUCUGAGAGGAAGGUCCCCCACAUUGGAACUGAGACACGGUCCAAACUCCUACGGGAGGCAGCAGUGAGGAAUAUUGGUCAAUGGGCGAGAGCCUGAACCAGCCAAGUAGCGUGAAGGAUGACUGCCCUAUGGGUUGUAAACUUCUUUUAUAAAGGAAUAAAGUCGGGUAUGGAUACCCGUUUGCAUGUACUUUAUGAAUAAGGAUCGGCUAACUCCGUGCCAGCAGCCGCGGUAAUACGGAGGAUCCGAGCGUUAUCCGGAUUUAUUGGGUUUAAAGGGAGCGUAGAUGGAUGUUUAAGUCAGUUGUGAAAGUUUGCGGCUCAACCGUAAAAUUGCAGUUGAUACUGGAUAUCUUGAGUGCAGUUGAGGCAGGCGGAAUUCGUGGUGUAGCGGUGAAAUGCUUAGAUAUCACGAAGAACUCCGAUUG
rnacentral:rRNA from 1 species